rnacentral:rRNA from 1 species
AUUGAACGCUGGCGGCAUGCUUUACACAUGCAAGUCGAACGGUAACAGGCCGCAAGGUGCUGACGAGUGGCGAACGGGUGAGUAAUGCAUCGGAACGUGCCCAGUCGUGGGGGAUAACGCAGCGAAAGCUGUGCUAAUACCGCAUACGAUCUAUGGAUGAAAGCGGGGGACCGUAAGGCCUCGCGCGAUUUGAGCGGCCGAUGUCAGAUUAGCUAGUUGGUGGGGUAAAGGCCCACCAAGGCGACGAUCUGUAGCUGGUCUGAGAGGACGACCAGCCACACUGGGACUGAGACACGGCCCAGACUCCUACGGGAGGCAGCAGUGGGUAAUUUUGGACAAUGGGCGCAAGCCUGAUCCAGCAAUGCCGCGUGCAGGAAGAAGGCCUUCGGGUUGUAAACUGCUUUUGUACGGAACGAAACGGUCUGGGUUAAUACCCUGGGCUAAUGACGGUACCGUAAGAAUAAGCACCGGCUAACUACGUGCCAGCAGCCGCGGUAA